GGGAAGAUCAACAAGGCAGUAUUACUGAAACAGAGGGCUCCUUCUCAUUUCUCCUCCCACCUCUUCUCCUCCUCAGCAUUUUUGAUCAAGGAUUGCUCUUUUCUAACUGUUGUUCUUUCUUAAUUCUGUUAAAAGGUACCACAUUUGACUGCAUGGCCUGGCAGCACCUCUGGAGAAGCCUACGUCCCUAGACAUCCACACCGCUACAGCCUGCUCCUGUACAUUAAGCCAUCUAGACCUCUCUGGCACUUUGCCACUUGUCAGAUUGGAGAAGAGCAGAACAGAGACUUGGAGGAAACCUGUUUUGUCCUGUGGUCAACACAACUCCUUCCAAUCACCUCUUUUUUCUUCCAGGAAGAGCCAGCUCUUAUAUUAGUCACAGCUGGUAUGUCACGGGAUCCUUGGGGGACUGCCUCUCCUGAGCUGUGACUGCUGUGUUUGGAUUCUGCUAAAAGCUGUAAACAUGAAACCCAAGUAUUUGAUUGUGCAAAGGGGCAGUAUGGAUCCGUGACUCACCACGGUCACAGAACUGUGGCACUGUGGCUCCCCUGGCAGCAGCAGGUAGGUUCCUGCACCCCCGAAGGCAGCGCCAAGUGACGGGGGAAAGAGGCAAAGGUGCAAUCAGUGCUGUUGACUUACACAGGAGGUGAUAUCUGCAUGGUGCAGGAGGUGACACCAGCUUCCAGCACACUCCCACCCAGGGAAUGGACAUGCAGGAGGUUGUAUUUGGCUUUUAUUGCGUGACUCAAUGUGCCCCACCUGUCCGGGAGCUCUGGAGCAGGUUUCCAUGGCUGGAUGCACCUCCUUGGCUGGGUGUACUUCUUCACGGGACAUAUAUUGUUUCAGUGCACUGCCAGUCGCAGCAGGUAACCGUGGAUGUUUUACUGCUGCCAACACUGGAUCACUUGGCAAGGCGCCGCCUUCCCUCGCCUUUCUUCUCUCUGGCCAAGCAGAUGCGAGCCAACAGGCAGAAUAUGACUUUUUCUUUCUUUCUCCAGAUGCUUUGCACUCAGAUGGCUGUUUCCCUCAGCGGCCCCUCCUCUCCCCAGUCUGAGCACAUGCCUACGUGCAGCUAUUCCAGCCUCACCACAGCAAGGUUUUCUGCUAUUGUGAAGGAGAAAAAGAGCAGGAGACCCAGGAAGCUAAUGACAGAGGGCCAGUCAUGGAGCCAAAGCAAAGGAAGAGGCAUGAAAAGCCACAAAAGCAGAACACAACUGUAGGCAAUACCAAAUCCAACUUGUCUUGUCCACAAGGUUCUUCCUAGUAGUUUAAUGCUUACAGUGACUGAGGCUGAAAUUCACUGACUACUUUAACCUGGUAUAAGGCAACGUUCUUGCUAAAAGGAGCUGGUUUUGCGCUUGUUGGCAGGUGCAGUUUCCUUCCUCUCGUGCAGCCAGCAAGAACGGAAAAGCCGGAACAGAAGAGAGAUAUCCGGAAAACGUGAAAGGUACUUUGUUCAAAAUCAAGAUCAAAUUCUGACCAGCUUGGAAUGAGAAAAAUGGCUUCUUCUACAUGUCUCUCACCCAAUUAAAAUGGGGCAUAAGGCCUGGCUUGCCAAAUUUUGUUUACAUUUUCAUUAUAAAUUUGUUUGAAAGAAGCUUUUCUCACAGUUUCCCUCUGUGAAAAGAGCACAGGACUGACAUGCAGUCUUGUGCCACUGGAUCUAAAAGUGUAGUCAAUGGUCCUCACAGAAAUAAAGCUGAAGGCAGGAAUGAAUGAACA
rnacentral:lncRNA from 1 species